GGGCGCAUAGCUCAGUUGGCUAGAGCCAUCGGCUCAUAACCGAUCGGUCGUAGGUUCGAGUCCUACUGCGCCCACCA
rnacentral:tRNA from 4 species